rnacentral:rRNA from 1 species
AAUAUUGGACAAUGGGGGCAACCCUGAUCCAGCCAUGCCGCGUGUGUGAAGAAGGUCNNNGGAUUNUCAAGCACUUUAAGUUGNGAGNAAGGGCUUUAGGCGAAUACCCUGAAGUUUUGACGUUACCAACAGAAUAAGCACCGGCUAACUCUGUGCCAGCAGCCGCGGUAAUACAGAGGGUGCAAGGGUUAAUCGGAAUUACUAGGCGUAAAGAGCGCGUAGGUGGUUCAGUAAGAAGGGUGUGAAAUCCCCGGGCUUAACCUGGGAACUGCUUUCAUAACUGCUGAGCGAGAGUACGGUAGAGGGUAGUGGAAUUUCCUGUGUAGCGGUGAAAUGCGUAGAUAUAGGAAGGAACACCAGUGGCGAAGGAGACUACCUGGACUGAUACUGACACUGAGGUGCGAAAGCGUGGGGAGCAAACA